rnacentral:rRNA from 1 species
CACGUAGGGGGCGAGCGUUGUCCGGAAUCAUUGGGCGUAAAGAGCGUGUAGGCGGCUUGGUAAGUCCGCUGUGAAAGUCCAGGGCUCAACCCCGGAAUGCCGGUGGAAACUGUCAAGCUUGAGUCCGGAAGAGGCGAGUGGAAUUCCUGGUGUAGCGGUGAAAUGCGCAGAUAUCAGGAGGAACACCAAUGGCGAAGGCAGCUCGCUGGGACGGUACUGACGCUGAGACGCGAAAGCGUGGGGAGCAAACAGG